AACGAACGCUGGCGGCAUGCCUAACACAUGCAAGUCGAACGAGACCUUCGGGUCUAGUGGCGCACGGGUGCGUAACGCGUGGGAACCUGCCCUUAGGUUCGGAAUAACUCCCCGAAAGGGGUGCUAAUACCGGAUAAUGUCUUCGGACCAAAGAUUUAUCGCCUUUGGAUGGGCCCGCGUUGGAUUAGCUAGUUGGUAGGGUAAAAGCCUACCAAGGCGACGAUCCAUAGCUGGUCUGAGAGGAUGAUCAGCCACACUGGGACUGAGACACGGCCCAGACUCCUACGGAGGCAGCAGUGGAGAAUAUUGGACAAUGGGCGAAAGCCUGAUCCAGCAAUGCCGCGUGAGUGAUGAAGGCCUUAGGGUUGUAAAGCUCUUUUACCCGGGAUGAUAAUGACAGUACCGGGAGAAUAAGCUCCGGCUAACUCCGU
rnacentral:rRNA from 1 species